rnacentral:rRNA from 1 species
CACGUAGGGCGCGGAGCGUUGUCCGGAAUUAUUGGCGUAAAGAGCUCGUAGGCGGCCUGUUGCGAUCCGGCUGUAGCAAAGCCCGGGCUUAACCCCGGGUCGGCAGUGGAUACGGGCAGGCUAGAGGUAGGUAGGGAGAAGUGGAAUUCCCGGUGUAGUGGUGGAAUGACGUAGAUAUCGGGAGGAACACCAGUGGCGAAGGCGGUUGCCUGGAGCUUUGCUGACGCUGAUGCGCGAAAGCGAUGGGGAGCGUAGGUCCGGAAUUGAUGAUA